rnacentral:rRNA from 1 species
AUUGAACGCUGGCGGCAGGCCUAACACAUGCAAGUCGAGCGAGCGGCGGACGGGUGAGUAAUGUAUGGGGCUCUGCCCGAUAGAGGGGGAUCACUACUGGAAACGGUGGCUAAUACCGCAUACUAUAGGAUGAGCCCAGAUGGGAUUAGCUAGUAGGUGGGGUAAAGGCUUACCAAGGCGACGAUCUCUAGCUGGUCUGAGAGGAUGAUCAGCCAAACUGGAACUGAGAAACGGCCCAGACUCCUACGGGAGGCAGCAGUAGGGAAUAGUGCACAAUGGGCGCAAGCCUGAUGCAGCCAUGCCGCGUGUAUGAAGAAGGCCUUAGGGUUGUAAAGUACUUUCAGCGGGGAGGCGUUACCCGCAGAAGAAGCACCGGCUAACUCCGUGCCAGCAGCCGCGGUAAUAC